UGUUCCGACAGCGUGUUUGUAAAAAUAUAGAUAGAAGCUGGAAGACGGAGUUGUCGACGUUAUAGUUUUAUCAGAAAUAAUUGUCCAACUAUGCCAUUUAAAUCUCUUUAAACUCACUAUCAAUUAAUUAAUCAUGGAAAGGACCUGACAUUUCUGGAUGUGCAUUUAAAACGAAGUUUUCGUUUGUUAUCAGUUGAAAAUGGAGGAAUUGAUGUUAAAGGAAGAAAACCUAAAGAAUGACGAGGUUGAGUUUGAGGAGAAAACUGCUGUAGAUGAAAUUAAAGAAGAGCAAGAAGAAGAUGAGGAGGAGGCACUGCCACACUCUGAGUUUCUUGACAUCUUUGAGGAAGGACUGGCUCUGAUGGUGCAGGACCCUUUACUCUGCGACUUACCAAUUCAGGUCACGUUGGAGGAGGUGAAUUCUCAGGUGGCUCUGGAAUAUGGUCAAGCCAUGACAGUUCGUGUUUGCAAGGCUGAUGGAGAAGUCAUGCCUAUUGUGGUUGUGCAGUCCGCUACAGUUCUGGACCUCAAGAAAGCCAUUCGCAGAUAUAUGGAGCUGAAACAACAGCGAGAAGGAGGUGUCAAGCACAUCAGCUGGAAAUACGUGUGGAGGACAUUUCAUCUGGUCUUCAAUGGAGAAAAAUUAGAAGAUGAUAAAAGAAAGCUGAAGGACUACGGCAUCAGGAACAGAGAUGAAGUGACGUUUUUAAAGAAACUGAGGAGGAAAUGAAUUCGUUAAUGGGUGAAAUUUGUACAUGGACAUUUAAAGGAAAAGUUCACCCAGAAAUGAAAAACUCAUCUUCGUGGUGUUCCGGUUCAAAUACUGUUUGCUGUUAUUUUUCUGUGGAACAAACAAGGACACAUUUUAGGAUUUUUUUUUCACUCGGAUUACUUUAGAAGAUAUGGAAUAUAGGGGACAAGACAUGGCUUUGGAACAUCCCUAUGAACUAUAUAUAUGAGCAAUAUUCUUUAAAAAUUUUCUGUUUCACUGUCAUACAAGCUAGGGACUUCAUUUGACUUAAUUUUUUAAGGUAAACCUAUCCUGUGAAGACAAACAGGUGUAGAAGCAAUUAUUCUAAAAAGUAACUUAAAUAUCUAUUCUUAAAAUACAUUUUAUAAAGGUUUUUUUUUUUUUUUUGGUGAGACAGAAACACAGACUGUCAUAUUUGCAAAUAUGCAAAUGUGUGUUAUUCCUCUUUUACCAGACACCUUGUGUAUACAUGGUACAUUCACAAAAUUGCUGAUUCAAUGAAAGUACAUGUCUAAUGAAGUGCUUUAAAGUCAUAUCUGAGUGUUUUAUGUUGCUUUUAUAUUGAUCAAAUUAUUAAACAUAAACAUGGUGAAAAUGGGCUGUUUUCAAGAGUGCAAUUAAAUCACCUUAAUGUUGGUUAUUAAAAUGCUUAAUAUUAUAGUCUCAUCAAAUUUGCAGCAAAGCUAUAGAUACUUGUUGUUUAAAACCCUAGUCACUAUGUGAGUUAUUAGUAAAAUACAGGUAAACCACACACUUUAAAUAUUAUGAGCAUGUUCCUCAUACUGUUCCGCUACAGUGUGACCAGCCUCUUAUUUCCUUAUUACUGCAAUGUGAAGAGCGACUGAAGAGACACUGCAGCACACAUGGACUGGAUGCUGUAUGAAGGUUUGAAGCUUUUGGAGAUUUAAAUAAACAGUCAUCUCAACCGUCAACAUGCCUGAGGAUAAGUUGACGAACAUUUUUGAGGAGCUGAACCGGCUGUCUUUUCGCAGACAGCAGCUGCUUGAUAAACGCAAUAUCCUGGCGAUGCUCAUCCAGUUCAAGCGAACCAACGGCCAGAAUGAGGAGCAGUAUGGCAGAGAUACUGAAGAACUUAAAGAAAUUGAUGAGGAGCUUAAAGUUCUUACUGAAAAGAAGAUUCAACUGGAGAACAUGCAAGAAAAGUCAGGAGGCACUCAUUUAAUAGACACAACUGUUUCAUCCGGUGUAAUAUUUAUAACCAAUCCGCCAUCUUUUCCAGCACCGCAGGUGAUUCUGGAUGUUCAGCAACUUCCUAGAGACUCGUGCAAGACGCAAUGUCCAUUCUGUCGCCAGUUUAUAACCACAGACAUCAAGACCAAAGUUGGCAGUGCGACUUAUAUUGUGUGUUUAAUUUCCCUUCUUUUUUGUUGUGUAGCUGGCUGCUGUUUAAUCCCAUUCUGCGUGAAUGGAUGCAAAGAUGUCGUUCACACUUGUCCAAAAUGUCGCAGUCACAUAAAAACAUGCAAAAAGUUUUGAGGAGUGGAAUUUUUAAAUCCCUGAAAUGUGAACUGAAGAGGUUGCGUGAAAUGUUUCAGCUGAUGUCAUCCUGAAUGGUUUACCCAUGGAAUUACCUGGAUUGCCUUUCUUAAAGGAUACGGCGGUGAUGUCUCGUGGUUCGCUCUUUGCUGGGACUAAGUCACCUUUUGCGUUUGCCUUAAAACUUACCUCCAGGACCGAAAGGAAGAUGUAAGACGUCUGAGUGUUCAUGGAGAUAUCAGUCUUCUGGUUUGAGCUCCAAGAAUGUUCAAUGCCAAAUUAGAAUUUUGGCUUGAAUGUUUGCUAAAUGACUGAACACUUUCAGGUUGUACAGGAAUAUAAAAAAUGGAGUCAAGACACAGUCAGGGUUUCUGCAGGUCUUCAGGUCUUCAAAAAGUCUUGAACCGCCCUUCUACAAUUUAUGGCCUCAAAAAGGUCUUAAGUCAGAGUAGAGCCAAGAUACAUCAUUGCAUAAGGUUCUAUCUAACAUUUUUGUCAAAACUGAGUUAUUCACAUAUUCGUGUUCUGUGACAACUUAUUUACAUUGUGUGAUGUUUCUUUUGUAAGCUGUGUACAUUUUGGGGCUUUUUUUAGAAAACAAAAAAGGUUCUAUCUACAGAAGUGUACGGAUCGCAAAAACUUUAAAGCUCAAUAUCUCGAAAGUGCUCAGAAUGCAGAUACAACCUUAUAAUUCUAAGGCGAUUCUGAGGAAGACCUGAACACAGUUAAGUGAGUUUAUGCCUAAAAUAGUAAUAAAUGUCUGCAACGGUGUGAUUUAAUUAAGCUGAUAUUUGUGGCCAAGCACCAAAGGUGCAUAGAUAUCAAUUGUAUCUGUUAGUGUUCUUCCGCUCAAGUCUAUGGCAGCACUUAGAACUGUGUAGUAAAAGUUAUGACAUACUGGUAGAGGACAAUCUGAGCAUUAACCACAGCAGACUUGGAGUCUCUAAUACAAUCCCUCCAGUGUCACUAACAUGAGUUGUACUCAUGUUUAUUUUAAAUGGCAAAGGAUUUUUUCCUCAUAAAGCCAUUAGUCUGAUUUACAUGAAAAUUAAAUAAGAUCAUCUUCAGCAAUGCUGACAAAAAAAAAAAAAAGAAAAAGAAAUGUGGAAUUUUCCGUCAUGAACAUUUUCAAAACAUUUUGACUUUUCCGUAAAAACCUACUUUUUUGAACUCAUCCUAAACCAUUAGUCUGAUUUACAUGAAAAUCAAAUAAGAUCAUCUUCAGACUAUGCAGACAAAAAAAGAAAAAAAAAAAAUUCUGCCAUGAAAAUUUUCCAGACAUUUAGAUUUUUCUGUAAAACCUACUUUUUCAAACUCCUCCUAGACCAUUAGUCUGAUUUACAUAAAAAUCAAAUCAGAUCAUCUUCAGACUAAAUAUGAAAUAUGAAAUUUUACAGACAUUUUGGUUUUCCAUAAAAUCUUGUGUUAGUCUUUUGGUAAUAGUCUAGAAGGAGUUUGAAAAAUGUCAAAAUGUCAGAAAUUUUCAUGAUGGAGAAUUUUUUUUGGACUUUUUCGAACUCCUCCUAGUCUAUUAGUCUGAUUUACAUGAAAAUCAGAUCAGAUCAUCUUCAGACCAGGUUGACAAAAAAAGGAAAACAU